GCGGGGUCACGCCCCGGGUGCGUCGAAGCCCCGGAACCAGGCGCCCGCCGGAGGGACCAACCAAACUCUUUUCUGUAGUCUCCUCGCGGACGUUAUUUCUUACAGCUCUGAGCAAAAAUUCAAAAUGAAUCAAAACUUUCAACAACGGAUCUCUUGGUUCUGGCAUCGAUGAAGAACGCAGCGAAAUGCGAUAAGUAAUGUGAAUUGCAGAAUUCAGUGAAUCAUCGAAUCUUUGAACGCACAUUGCGCCCGCCAGUAUUCUGGCGGGCAUGCCUGUCCGAGCGUCAUUUCAACCCUCGAACCCCUCCGGGGGGUCGGCGUUGGGGACCUCGGGAGCCCCUAAGACGGGAUCCCGGCCCCGAAAUACAGUGGCGGUCUCGCCGCAGCCUCUCCUGCGCUUUAGUUUGCACAACUCGCACCGGGAGCGCGGCGCGUCCACGUGCGUAAAACACCCAACUUUCUGAAAUGUUGACCUCGGAUCAGGUAGGAAUACCCG
rnacentral:rRNA from 1 species